CUUUAUGUAGGAACAAAAGGGAACCGGCACAUUUUCUUUCCGUCCCAGUGAGAACACGUGCGGACUCCCUUCCAAAGAUGGAGGGACCACUGCGCCUCAAGGCGUCUGCUCCAGCUGCUGCUCACGAAAUCACCGUCACUGCGUACCACCACCAUCACCACCACCACCACCACCAUCCACCAUCCACCACCACCACCACCAUCACGGCCUGGCAUGCGAUCGCGCCCUCCAUCACUGUCGCCGCGGCCGUGAGAGAGAGGAAGGUUCCCGAUCACCUGUAAGCAACAUCCCUCUGAGCAUCGGUAUGACUUGUAACUUAAACAGCGUUGGGGUUUACUGGCAAGCUCUCCCUUCAGUGCUGUGGAAACGUGAGCCAGACGUGCACACGAACAGACAACCCAACGCUCUUAGUAAUAUAGAUUUUGUUUAUGACUGUGAAGCAUCGACCCCGGGGAACCUUUGCUAAUCGUGCUAACAUUUCACCUCUGUGUUUUUCUUUCAUUUUUUUUUUUCCAGACAGGCCGUUGACAUCGCAUAGAGAAAAAAAAAUCAUGUAAUUUUCCUCUCCCUUCCUCUCCCCCUCUCCCUGUUUCCCUCCCUUCUUCCUUCCUUUCCUCACCUACAUCUCUUUUCUCUCCUAGAUUUCU